rnacentral:misc_RNA from 1 species
GAUGAAGAACGCAGCGAAAUGCGAUACGUAAUGUGAAUUGCAGAAUUCAGUGAAUCAUCGAAUCUUUGAACGCAUAUUGCGCUCUCUGGUAUUCCGGAGAGCAUGCUUGUUUGAGUAUCAGUAAACACCUCAACUUCCAUAUCUUUUUUGAAAUGGGAGUUGGACUUGAGUGAUCCCAACGCUUUUCCUCACCGAAAAGUGGCGGGUUACUUGAAAUGCAGGUGCAGCUGGACUUUUCUCUGAGCUAUAAGCAUAUCUAUUUAGUCUGCCUAAAAAACAGAUUAUUACCUUUGCUGCAGCUAACAUAAAGGAGAUUAGUUCUUGUGCUGACUGAUGCAGGAUUCACAAAGACAGCUUCGGCCGACUUUGUAAACUCGAUCUCAAAUCAAGUAAGACUACCCGCUGAACUUAAGCAUAUCAAUAAGUGGAGGA